GACGAACGCUGGCGGCGUGCUUAACACAUGCAAGUCGAACGGAAAGGCCCCUUUGGGGGUACUCGAGUGGCGAACGGGUGAGUAACACGUGAGUAACCUGCCCUUGACUUCGGGAUAACUUCAGGAAACUGGGGCUAAUACCGGAUAGGAAUCCUUGCUGCAUGGUGGGGGUUGGAAAGCUUCGGCGGUUUUGGAUGGACUCGCGGCUUAUCAGCUUGUUGGUGGGGUAGUGGCUUACCAAGGCUUUGACGGGUAGCCGGCCUGAGAGGGCGACCGGCCACAUUGGGACUGAGAUACGGCCCCGACUCCUACGGGAGGCAGCAGUGGGGAAGAUUGCACAAUGGGCGGAAGCCUGAUGCAGCAACGCCGCGUGCGGGAUGACGGCCUUCGGGUUGUAAACCGCUUUCAGCAGGGGCGAAGCUUGUGGUGACGGUACCUGCAGAAGAAGCACCGGCUAACUACGUG
rnacentral:rRNA from 1 species